GUCUCCAGGGGACGAAGGGAGACAGAAAACACGGCUGUUUCACGUCAGUCCCAAAGAGUGUGGGCAUCUGGCUUCAGUGUCUGGUCUUGUACAUUCAGAAACUUCCUUUGUCAUUGCAUCUGUUGCUGCUCUGGUCACAGGUUCCAAUAAUCAGACUCAUAAGACACUGAGUCAUAACCAGAAAGUAGACUUUCUCACUUGGCCGAAGGAGUGUGCGUUCCCAGAACCCGGAAUACUGGUGGUUGUGAUCCAAGCCAAUCCUGUCCUCAUGUUCCAGGUCAAAGGACAUUUUUUAUUCUCAAGGAGUGUUUUAUAAUAAUACUCUUCUAGCUGAACGCUGACACAGCAGAGAGAGCACAUUAUUGCUCCUUCUUUCCAAAGAGACUGAGGCUCAGAGAGGCUUUACCCAAAGGUCAUGAUUUCCUGGGUCUCAUGGUCCUUAUUUACAAAUUAAGGUCAGAGCUGAGUUUUAUUAACUGCGAUCCUAAAAAAUCAGGAACCUAAAUGGAUACAUCAGAAUUUUUAUUGAAAUUAGUAAUAACUUCCUUCAGUAAAUGGAUGAGGCUUAAAUUCUGAGCCAGGUGAGUAUGGAAACUUCCAUCUCAAUAAAUUUCCCUUCGUCCCUGUCUGAGCUCAGUUUCUCUAGAAGCAGAGCCCAAUUCAGGGCUCUGGGAACAUGGAAUUUAUUUAUCUUGGAUCAGUUUAUUUAUUUUUGUUUACUUUUUCCUGAAGGGAAAACUGGUCAUGAGGGAGAAGGGGGCUGAGCAAGGAUGUGGUCUCGGGUGGAGUCCGGCCUCGGCCUGACCUGCUGCGGGAGGUGCAGAGCAUAAACUUGUGCCAGAAAACCAGCCUUGGGGUCCUGUGUGAGCCGCUACUGGCCGGGGCAGCCCCUGGGGGUGGACAGGGAGCAGCAGCCUGUGCCUUCCCAGAGGAGAUGGGGCCUGCCAGCCAAGGGCAGCUCUCCAGGAAGGGGGCUGUGAGCCCUCGGCGGCCGAUACUCUGCGCAGCAAGAGCAGGGGGCUGAUGUGGGGCAGGGGCUGACGUGGGGCAGGGGCUCUGGCGCGCCUGGCGUCUGUGCUCAGUAAGCACUCUGUGCGUUGCCCUCUCACCUCGGGCAUUUUGUGUGAGUUCCAUUCUCUGCCCAGAACUUGUUCCCCUCAUUUUUGCUCAAAUAUAUCUUACUUCCCCUUUAGGCCUGAUCUUAGGCACUGCCUCCUCCAGGAAGCCUUUGGCAACCCUUCCAAGCGCAUCCAGGCUUCCCCUCUGUCUUCCCGUUCACACCAAGUCAACACAGUAAAGCUGACCCCUGCUCGUGGAAGCUCCAGGUCUGCACCAGGCUCUGAGAUGCCCCGCAGCUGCCUCCUGAGAUCUCAGCGGUCCUGAGAAACGACCACUGCCCCAUGUCACAGGAGGGCCCUGGGCUUGAGGAAGGCCAACCGCGUGGUGGGGCGAGGGAACGAGAGCAGAAGCCCAGAAGCCAAUGUGUGCUCAGGCCCACUUCACGUGUGGAGCAAACCUGUAAGGGCAGCGCCAGCAGGCGCUGGCAUUCCACGACGCUUACGUGGUGCUCCUCCCACAUGUCCUUUCUUCCCCAUCUGCCCAACAGACCCAGAGCGCAUGCCACCUUUCUUGACAUCCCUCCUUCGGAACACCC